AGCCCCAAGGUGUUCAACAUAUAAGAUUGCAAAUCUUAAGAGGCAGGCUAACGUCUGCUGGGGCUU
rnacentral:tRNA from 1 species